rnacentral:rRNA from 1 species
AGUGAACGCUGGCGGCAGGCCUAACACAUGCAAGUCGAACGGCAGCACAAGAGAGCUUGCUCUCUGGGUGGCGAGUGGCGGACGGGUGAGGAAUGCAUCGGAAUCUGUCCAUUUGUGGGGGAUAACCCCGGGAAACCGGGACUAAUACCGCAUACGACCUACGGGUGAAAGCAGGGGAUCUUCGGACCUUGCGCAGAUGGAUGAGCCGAUGCCGGAUUAGCUAGUUGGAGGGGUAAAGGCCCACCAAGGCGACGAUCCGUAGCUGGUCUGAGAGGAUGAUCAGCCACACUGGAACUGAGACACGGCCCAGACUCCUACGGGAGGCAGCAGUGGGGAAUAUUGGACAAUGGGCGCAAGCCUGAUCCAGCCAUGCCGCGUGUGUGAAGAAGGCCUUCGGGUUGUAAAGCACUUUUGUUGGGAAAGAAAAGCAGCCGGUUAAUACCCGGUUGUCAUGACGGCACCCAAAGAAUAAGCACCGGCUAACUUCGUG